rnacentral:snRNA from 1 species
ACUAGCUCUUGAAGAGACC